rnacentral:rRNA from 1 species
CGACCGGCGCACGGGUGAGUAACACGUAUGCAACCUGGCCGUGACAGAUGGAUAACCGGGAGAAAUCCCGCCUAAUACAGCAUGACGCCGGGAAGGGACAUCCCUUUCCGGCCAAAGGGGGCGACUCCGGUCACGGAUGGGCAUGCGGCGCAUUAGGUAGUUGGUGGGGCAACGGCCCACCAAGCCGACGAUGCGUAGGGGUUCUGAGAGGAAGAUCCCCCACAUUGGAACUGAGACACGGUCCAAACUCCUACGGGAGGCAGCAG